AUUGAACGCUGGCGGCGUGCUUAACACAUGCAAGUCGAGCGGUAACAGGUGUAGCAAUACAUGCUGACGAGCGGCGAACGGGUGAGUAAUGCUUCGGAAUCUUCCUCGUAGUGGGGAAUAACCUGGGGAAACUCAGGCUAAUACCGCAUACGAACUACGGUUGAAAGCAGGGGAUCGCAAGACCUUGCGCUAUGAGAUGAGCCGAAGUCGGAUUAGCUAGUUGGUGAGGUAAAGGCUCACCAAGGCGACGAUCCGUAGCUGGUCUGAGAGGACGACCAGCCACACUGGGACUGAGACACGGCCCAGACUCCUACGGGAGGCAGCAGUGGGGAAUAUUGGACAAUGGGGGCAACCCUGAUCCAGCAAUGCCGCGUGGAUAAAGAAGGUCUUCGGAUUGUAAAGUCCUUUCGGCGGGGACGAUGAUGACGGUACCGCAGAAGAAGCCCCGGCUAACUUCGUGCCAGCAGCCGCGGUAAU
rnacentral:rRNA from 1 species